GGGCCGGUAGCUCAGUUUGGUAGAGCACCUGACUUUUAAUCAGGUGGUCGCGAGUUCGAAUCUCGUCCGGCCCA
rnacentral:tRNA from 1 species